AAUUUAAUUUUUUUUUAGUGAAUAAUCUUCUUAAAGUUUCAUAAUAUUUGCCCAAAGAGAUUUAGCCGCCAGAUUUCAUCUUUAUAGUGACUUUUUUAAUUUUAUUGAAUUUUUAUUGGUUCUGCUAGUGUCAGCCAUUUUGUGAGCUUAGUUACACUGCAGAAAUGCAUUGAACAGGUAAGCUAUAACAGGAAUGGUGCUAUUGAUGGAAGAACUAAAUGAGCUGGUCAUCUCUCGUGAGCUCUCAGUUGCUUACAUAUUACCUCCUUUUGGUGGUUAUAGCCAACUGAUUGGUAGCUAAUAGGAG